rnacentral:rRNA from 1 species
UAACAAUGAUUCCCCUAGUAACGGCGAGUGAAGAGGGAAGAGCUCACAGUUGGAAUCUGGCCGUCUUGGAUGGUCCGAGUUGUAAACUGAAAAAGUGUUUUCCAGGCUAGCCGAGUAAAAAAGUUCCUUGGAAUAGGACAUCAUGGAGGGUGAGAAUCCCGUCUUUGGCUUGAGCAUAGUCUUUUGUGUUGCACUUUAAAGAGUCAGGUUGUUUGGGAAUGCAGCCUAAAGUGGGAGGUAAAUCCCUCCUAAAGCUAAAUAUUGGCGAGAGACCGAUAGCAAACAAGUACCGUGAGGGAAAGAUGAAAAGAACUUUGAAAAGAGAGUUAAACAGUAUGUGAAAUUGCUAAAAGGGAAGCGUUUGAAGACAGACUUGCUUGUCUACAAUCAGCCUGGGCCUCGGUCUUGGUGUACUUGUGGACGAUGCUUGCCAACAUCAGUUUGGACUGGCUGAAAAAACUGGUAGUAAGGUGGCUUCUCCGGAAGUGUUAUAGACUGCCAGAAAAUCAGUUGGACUGGACUGAGGAAUGCAAUGCAGCUUGACCCUGUGGUCAACUUGGUUGGAUUGGGGCCAUUGCUCUAUGAAGGCCAGGGUAGCUACUUGAACUG